GGAGGAAAGCAGGGGAUCGCAAGACCUUGCGCUUUUGGAGCGGCCGAUGCCUGAUUAGCUUGUUGGUGAGGUAAAAGCUCACCAAGGCUCCGAUCAGUAGCUGGUCUGAGAGGACGACCAGCCACACUGGGACUGAGACACGGCCCAGACUCCUACGGGAGGCAGCAGUGGGGAAUUUUGGACAAUGGGGGCAACCCUGAUCCAGCCAUGCCGCGUGAGUGAAGAAGGCCUUCGAGUUGUAAAGCUCUUUCAGCCGGAACGAAACGGUCACGGUCAAUACCCGUGACUACUGACGGUACCGGAAGAAGAAGCACCGGCUAACUACGUGCCAGCAGCCGCGGUAAUACGUAGGGUGCGAGCGUUAAUCGGAAUUACUGGGCGUAAAGCGUGCGCAGGCGGUUUUGUAAGUCAGAUGUGAAAUCCCCGGGCUUAACCUGGGAACUGCGUUUGAAACUACAAAGCUAG
rnacentral:rRNA from 1 species